AGGAAAAGAAACUAACAAGGAUUCCCCUAGUAACGGCGAGUGAAGCGGGAUGAGCUCAAAUUUGUAAUCUGGUGGACUCAGUUCAUCCGAGUUGUAAUCUAUAGAAAAGUUUUCCGCGCCGGACCGUGUCUAAGUCCCUUGGAACAGGGUGUCAGAGAGGGUGAGAAUCCCGUGCUUGAUACGACCACCGGUGCUAUGUGAUACUUUUUCAACGAGUCGAGUUGUUUGGGAAUGCAGCUCAAAAUGGGUGGUAAAUUCCAUCUAAAGCUAAAUAUUGGCGAGAGACCGAUAGCGAACAAGUACCGUGAGGGAAAGAUGAAAAGCACUUUGGAAAGAGAGUUAAACAGUACGUGAAAUUGUUAAAAGGGAAACGAUUGAAGUCAGUCGUGCUCUCUGGGACUCAGCCGGUUCUUCCGGUGUAUUUCCCAGUGAGCGGGUCAACAUCAGUUUAGAUCGCUGGAUAAGGUCAUUAGGAAUGUGGCUCCCUCGGGAGUGUUAUAGCCUAGUGUCGCAUACAGUGGUUUAGACUGAGGAACGCAGCUCGCCUUUAUGGCCGGGGUUCGCCCACGUCCGAGCUUAGGAUGUUGACAUAAUGGCUUUAAACGACCCGUC
rnacentral:rRNA from 1 species